rnacentral:tRNA from 19 species
CGGGGCGUAGCGCAGCCUGGUAGCGCACUUGCAUGGGGUGCAAGGGGUCGGAGGUUCGAAUCCUCCCGUCCCGACCA